rnacentral:rRNA from 1 species
UACGUAGGGAGCAAGCGUUGUCCGGAAUCAUUGGGCGUAAAGCGCGCGUAGGCGGCCUUGUAAGUCCGUUGUGAAAGUCAAAGGCUCAACCUUUGAAAGCCGAUGGAUACUGUGAGGCUAGAGUCCGGAAGAGGCGAGUGGAAUUCCUGGUGUAGCGGUGGAAUGCGCAGAUAUCAGGAGGAACACCAAUAGCGAAGGCAGCUCGCUGGGACGGUACUGACGCUAAGGCGCGAAAGCGUGGGGAGCGAACGAGG